CGCACGGGUGAGUAACACGUGAAUUAUCUACCUCCGAGUGGGGAAUAACUGAGAGAAAUCUUAGCUAAUACCGCAUAACACUUACGAGUCAAAGCAGCAAUGCGCUUGGAGAGGAGUUCGCGGCCGAUUAGCUAGUUGGCGGGGUAAUGGCCCACCAAGGCGAUGAUCGGUAUCCGGCCUGAGAGGGCGCACGGACACACUGGAACUGAAACACGGUCCAG
rnacentral:rRNA from 1 species